AACCAGCCUUACUUUACAUUUUUGCUCGGUAGGUAUAUAGUAUUUGCGGAGCAGAGCUUCUCGGAAGCGAAAAAGGUUAUUUGAAGGGUUAGGGUUUUUUUUUUGAAGGGUUUUGAUCCAUUCUCUUUCAGAGCAACUCCAAUUUUAAGGUUUCGAUCUCUGCAACACUCUCCUCAUCUCUCUCUCUCGUUUCGGAGUCGGAUUCUAGAACUCUCAGCAGCAAGAAUGGGGUUCCAGAUGCAGCCGUACGGAGUACAAGCGAUGCUGAAAGAAGGCCACAAGCAUCCCUCUGGCGUCGACCAAGGGGUCCUUAAGAACAUUGAUGCUUGCAAGCAGCUCUCCACCAUCACCCGAACUUCGCUCAGACCAAACGGUAUGAAUAAGAUGGUCAUUAAUCAUUUGGACAAUCUUUGAUACAAAUGAUGCUGCAACUAUUGUGAAUGAACUUGAGGUACAGCAUCCUGCUGCCAAGAUUCUCGUGUAAGCAGGCAAAGCUCAACAGGAAGAAAUUGGUGAUGUAGCUAAUCUGACGAUAUCUUUUGCUGAGGUGCUUCUCCAAAAUGCGGAGGAGCUUAUUAGGAUGGGAUUGCAUCCAAGUGAAAUCAUUAGUGGCUACCCAAAAGCGAUCAAUAAGGUCCUUCAUUUCUUUGCUGAAUGACCUGUCAAACUGUAUUCUGAACCUUUUGCUCAUUAGGCAUUGUGCAUAUGCUGAUUUCUGCUCUGUUGAUGCCUAGACGGUCGAUAUUUUAGAUGAGUUGGUUGAAAAGGGCUCGGAAACAAUGGAUGUGCGGAACAAGGAUGAAGUUGUUUCCUGAAUGAAAGCUAUUGUGGCCAGUAAGCAGUUCGUACAAGAAGAUAUUUUGUGCCCUCUUAUUGCGGAUGCAUGCAUCCAGGUCUGCCCCAAGAACCCACUGAACUUUAAUGUAGAUAAUGCUCGUGUCGUAAAGCUUCUUGGAGGAGGUCUGCAUAACUGUUCAAUUGUUUGUGGCAUGGUCCUGAAAACUGAUGCUGUUGGAAGUAUAAAACAAAUGGAAAAUGCAAAGGUGUGCCUUUGGAAAACUAACUAUUGGUUCUUAUACCAAUACAAUAUUCUUAUACUAUAUUUGCUUCCUCACAUAUUUUCUGGUUGUAAAUAUCAUAGAGUAGAAAUACAUUCCACCCAGUGCGUUGUAUUUUUUCUGUCAA